rnacentral:rRNA from 1 species
UCGAACGCCGGGGGAGUGGUGGUGGUAUUACGUAGGGUGCGGGCGUUGAUCGGAGUGUCUUGGCGUGAAGCGUGCGCUGGCGGCUCUGCAAGACAGAUGUGGAAUCCCCGGGCGUAACCUGGGAACUGCAGUUGUUACUGCAUGGCUCGAGUGCGGCAGAGGGGGAUGGAAUUCCGCGGGUAGCAGUGAAAUGCGUAGAUAUGCGGAGGAACACCGAUGGCGAAGGCAAUCCCCUGGGCCUGCACUGACGCUCAUGCACGAAAGCGUGGGGAGCAAACAGGAUUAGAGACCCUAGUAGUC